rnacentral:rRNA from 1 species
CCUACGGGAGGCAGCAGUGAGGAAUAUUGGUCAAUGGGCGCGAGCCUGAACCAGCCAAGUAGCGUGAAGGAUGACUGCCCUAUGGGUUGUAAACUUCUUUUAUAAAGGAAUAAAGUGCGGCACGUGUGCCUUUUUGUAUGUACCUUAUGAAUAAGGAUCGGCUAACUCCGUGCCAGCAGCCGCGGUAAUACGGAGGAUCCGAGCGUUAUCCGGAUUUAUUGGGUUUAAAGGGAGCGUAGGUGGGUUGUUAAGUCAGUUGUGAAAGUUUGCGGCUCAAACGUAAAAUUGCAGUUGAUACUGGCAGUAUUGAGUACAGUAGAGGUAGGCGGAAUUCGUGGUGUAGCGGUGAAAUGCUUAGAUAUCACGAAGAACUCCGAUUGCGAAGGCAGCUUACUAGACUGCCACUGACAUUGAUGCUCGAAAGUGUGGGUAUCAAACAGGAUUAGAUACCCGAGUAGUC